GAGAAGGUAUCUAAUGGAUUCCUAGACAUUAAGAAGCGAAGAAGGACGCUAAUAUGCGAUAAAGCACAAUGAGUUAAACGUAGAUUUGUGCAUCUCCGAAUGGGGCAACCCAUUGUUUAUAAACAAUAUCCUGCAGAGAAUAAAAUAUUUGCAGGAAGCGAACCUGGUGAAUUGAAACAUCUUAGUAACCAGAGGAAAAGAAAUCAAUAGAGAUUUUGUUAGUAGCGGCGAGCGAAACCAAAACAGUCUUACUUUCCUUGGAAAGUAACUGCAAUUAGUGCGUCAGAAUAAAUAUCUGGAAAGAUAUGCCAUAGUUUGUGAUAGCCAAGUAUUUGAAAACACACUGACUGCAGACCAAGUAGGCGCCUUAAACCCGGCGUUGAAGAAGGGUGAUCCAUCAUCCAAGACUAAAUAUUACUUAAUGAUCAAUAGUGAAAAGUACCGUGAGGGAAAGGUGAAAUAGUGUGUGAAUAACACAAUGAAAAUACAUGAAAUUAGAAUACCGACAAGAAGGUACGGCACCCUAAGUGGUGUUGUAUUGUACCUUUUGCAUAAGGAGCCAACAACUUAAUUUAUAUGGUGAGCUUAAGUUCCUAUUUGGAACGCAGGCGCAGUGAAAGCGAGUCUUAAAUGGACGUAAAUCAUAUGGAUUAGACCCGAAAGUAAGUGAGCUAUUUAUGAGCAGGUUGAAGUAUUAGAUAAUAUCUAAAUGGAGGACCGAACCCGUGAUUGUUGCAAUAAUCUGGGAUGACUUGUGAAUAGGAGUGAAAGGCUAAACAAACUUACAUAUAGCUGGUUCUCUGCGAAAAUUAUUUAGGUAAUGCGUCAUGUGGUGUGGUGAAGGGGUAAAGCACUGAUUUGAAAUUGGCCCGAAAGGGUGCGGUUUCUAGAUAAACUCUGAAUACUUCAUUUAACUAGCAUGGCAGGCGGACUGCGGGUGACAAGAUCAGUAGUCGAGAGGUAAAUAGACCAGACCUCAGAAUAAGGUCCCAAAAUUAUUAUUAAGUCAAAAGAAUGUCAUACUUCUAAGACAAUCAAAAUGUAGGCUUGGAAGCAGCCAUCAUUUAAAGAAAGCGUAAAAGCUCAUUGAUAUAUGUCGUAUGGCUUCAAAGAUGUAGAGGGAUUAAAAUAAUAUACCGAAUUCGAGGAAUCGUGUUUUUAAGCACGGUUGGUAGCAGAGCGUUCUGUAAGCCUGUGAAGGAGUACCUGCGAGGGGCUCUGGAGGUAUCAGAAGUGAAAAUGUUGGCAUGAGUAACUAUAAAAUACGUUAAAUUCGUAUUCGCCGUAAACCCAAGAUUUCCCAAUAAUAGACAAACGUAUUGGGGUUAGUCGAUCCCUAAGGAGAGAGCGAAAGCUGUAUCCGAUGGAAAAUCAGGUUAAUAUUCCUGAACUAAGUGUGGAAAAAAUGUAGAAACAGAAAGUAUAAAUCAAAACUAUUUUAUGCAAUCGAAAGUCUAUACUGGAAAAGAUCACACAUUUGAUAAUCGUAUUAUAAUCCGACACAGGUGGGUGGGCAUAGUAUGCUAAGGCGUUAAGAUAAUGAUGUUAAAGGAAUUCGGCAAAUUGCCUCUGUAACGUAUGGAAAAAGAGGCCCUUGUCCAGGGCAACCUGGCUGAGGGGACACAAAAUCGGAGAUAGCGACUGUUUAUCAAAAACACAGGACCCUGCAAAAUCGUAAGAUGACGUAUAGGGUCUGAGACCUGCCCGGUGUUCUGAGGUCAAAAGUGAUUGUGUAUAGCUCUCACUAUAAGCCAGAAUAAACGGCGGCGAUAACUAUAAUCGUCCUAAGGUAGCGAAAUUCAUUGUCACAUAAUUGGUGACCUGCAUGAAUGGUUUAACGACUGUCUCGCUGUCUUUAACAUCAACUUAGUGAAAUUUAAUUCUCCGUGCAAAUGCGGAGUUCCCGUGGUUAGACGAAAAGUCCCUAAUACCUUUACUAUAAUUUUGUAUUGGUUGGGGAAUGUGUGUACGCAGGAUAGGGAGGAGACUUUGAGGUUGCGAUUUCGGUUGCAACUGAGUCGACAGUGAGAUACUUCCUAUACACAUUUCCUGAUCUAAUUUGACAUCAUGAAGCUGGUGCAAAGACAGUGCAUGAGAGGUAGUUUUGCUGGGGCGGCAACCUCCUAAAGAGUAACGGAGGUGCGCAAAGGUGGGUUCAGCUUGUGUAGUAAGCAAGCUUCGAGCGUAACAGUAUAUACCCGCUUGACUGAGAGGCGGACAUGCCGAUCAGAAACGAAAGUUGGCUGUAGUGAUCCCAUGAAUCUUAAUGGUAAGUUCAUGGCUCAACGGAUAAAAGGUACAUUAGGGAUAACAGGCUAAUCUCCUCUGAGAGACCACAUCGAUGAGGAGGUUUGGUACCUCAAACUGGGGCUGCACAAUAGUGAUAUUGUGUGAAAGAAUUUGGCUGUAUGCUGGAAUAUCUGUGCUGCAUUGCGACAAUAGCAGCUUUAAGGUUACGAGUACUUACGAAAGUAAGUAAUAAUCUCGUAAAUACAGACAAUCAGCAGGGAAGUUUACUAUAAUUAAAUAUAGUAUAACCCCUCAACGACUAUACGCCAAAGUUGUCCAAAAAACAAUAUGAUAUAGUCUAUACUGCAUAGAGAUAUGCAGUGGUAUUAUUUGAAUUUAAAAUGCAAAAGAAAUUAUCGAGUAGCGUAAAUUCAUUAAAACCGUCUAACUUACAAAUAGAAGUACUAAUC
rnacentral:rRNA from 1 species